GACGGAGCAAUACCGCGUGAGGGAGGAAGGCUCUUGGGUUGUAAACCUCUUUUGUCAGGGAAGAAGAUCUGACGGUACCUGACGAAUCAGCAUCGGCUAACUCCGUGCCAGCAGCCGCGGUAAUACGGAGGAUGCAAGCGUUAUCCGGAUUUAUUGGGCGUAAAGCGUCCGCAGGUGGUUAUGCAAGUCUGCUGUCAAAGCAUGGAGCUUAACUCCAUCAAGGCAGUGGAAACUGCACGACUAGAGUACGGUAGGGGUCACGGGAAUUCCCAGUGUAGCGGUGAAAUGCGUAGAUAUUGGGAAGAACACCAGCGGCGAAAGCGCGUGACUGGGCCGAAACUGACACUCAUGGACGAAAGCUAGGGGAGCG
rnacentral:rRNA from 1 species